GCCGAUAUGGCUCAGUUCUUACAACGCCGCCCUUGGUAAGGGUGAGGUCCCCAGUUCGACUCUGGGUAUCAGCACCA
rnacentral:tRNA from 1 species